rnacentral:lncRNA from 1 species
CCCUGGGACCCGGCAGAAGGAACAUGAGAGCUCCGGAUUUGGUUCUGGGGUGCCUCAGCCUGUCCUUUGCAAAAUGGAAUUAGAGAUACCUUGUGAGAAUUCCAGAGGAUGUAUGUACAACACAUAGAAGACAUCCAAGCUAUGGAAGCUGCUGCCUUUCCUUUUCCUGUAGACUUCAUAAAAAUGAUGUGAUGUGCACAUCUGGAUGGAGGAAGGGUGGGAUGGGGCAGCACACAGCUGGCGUCAGGCCUCC